rfam:Hordeum vulgare subsp. vulgare, WGS project CAJW01000000 data, contig: morex_contig_56397
UAAAUGCUCCCUCCGUCCCAAAAUUCUUGUCUUAGAUUUUUCUAGAUAUGGAUGCAUUUAGAUACUAAAACAUGACUAGCUACAUUCAUAUCUAGACAAAUCUAAGACAAUAAUUUUGGGACGGAGGGAGUACAUG